AUGUGGUGGGCCUUGGAGAAACACAAAGUCCCAGCAAAGUACAUUACCCUCAUCAAGGACAUGUACAAUAAUGUUGUGACAAGUGUUCGAACAAGUGAUGUCGACACCGAUGACUUCCCGAUUAAGAUAGGACUGCAUCAGGGGUCAGCUUUGAGCCCUUAUCUUUUUGCUUUGGUGAUGGAUGAGGUCACAAGGGGUAUACAAGGAGAUAUCCCAUGGUGUAUGCUCUUUGCGGAUGAUGUGGUGCUAGUUGACGAUAGUCGGACGGGGGUAAAUAGGAAGUUAGAGUUAUGGAGACAAACUUUGGAAUCGAAAGGGUUUAGGCUUAGUAGAACUAAAACCGAGUACAUGAUGUGCGGUUUCAGUACUACUAGCUGUGAGGAGGAGGAGGUUAGCCUUGAUGGCCAGGUGGUACCUCGGAAGGACACCUUUCGGUAUUUGGGGUCAAUGUUGCAGGAUGAUGGGGGUAUUGAUGAAGAUGUGAACCAUCGAAUCAAAGCCGGAUGGAUGAAGUGGCGCCAAGCUUCUGGCAUUCUCUGUGACAAGAGAGUGCCACAAAAGCUAAAAGGCAAGUUCUACAGGACGGCGGUUCGACCCGCAAUGUUGUAUGGCGCGGAGUGUUGGCCGACUAAAAGGCGACAUGUUCAACAGUUAGGUGUGGCGGAGAUGCGUAUGUUGAGAUGGAUGUGUGGCCACACGAGGAAGGAUCGAGUCCGGAAUGAUGAUAUACGAGAUAGAGUUGGGGUAGUACCAAUUGAGGAGAAGCUUGUCCAACAUCGUUUGAGAUGGUUUGGGCAUAUUCAGCGCAGGCCUCCAGAAGCUCCAGUGCAUAGCGGACGGCUAAAGCGUGCGGAGAAUGUCAAGAGAGGGCGGGGUCGACCGAUUUUGACAUGGGAGGAGUCCGUUAAGAGAGACCUGAAGGAUUGGAGUAUCGACAAAGAGCUAGCUAUGGAUAGGGGUGCGUGGAAGCUUGCUAUCCAUGUGCCAGAGCCAUGA
rnacentral:rRNA from 1 species